GAGCAGGUGUCCGUCCAUGUGUUACCACUUUGGCCACUGUUCUCAAAUCUUUUCACCUUUGCUCAUGGCUCCAUUCAUUCAAGGUGAGACUGAGCCAGGCCUGGGUGAUACAGUGGGGAAAGACACAGAAGUGGUCCCUGUCACCAUGGAGCGGGCAGGCCGUCUCUCUUAAAAGUUAAUAUUCAAGAAAGCUGCCAGUGAAAGGGAGGAUGAUGUACAAGCACAAAUGUAUGCAUGUUCUGAUCAUCUUCUGGCUUGAAAUUUUUCCUGCAACGGACAUCAUUUCGGUGCAUCCCAGAGAAACCCCGAGCCGGGGCGCGGUAUUUUGCCGCUGAGAGCUGGCUCUGGUGAAGAUGCGGCUUCUGUACCUGAUAAUGGCACGUUCCCUCUCCACCCCGCCCUAGGCGCUCGCCCAGGGCAUUUGACACCCGCCCGCGGGUGGCUCGCUUUUGCACACAAUGGC